CAAAACCCAGCAAUAUGACUGUAAAUGGUACAUUCCGCUCACGGACCUCAGCUUCCAGAUGGGAUGAAUUGGAGGCACUACCCAACAUCCCUCUGGUGCCAGAUGAGGAACUGGAUGCCUUGAAGAUCAAAAUCUCCCAAAUCAAGAGCGACAUCCAACGAGAGAAGAGGCCAAACAAGGGCAGCAAGGUCAUGGAGAGCUGAGGAAGAAAGCUGUCAGAAGCAGGAGUCACUGCUGCUGUUGAUGUCCCCCAGCAUGGCCUUUCAGGGUUCACUAGUCGCAAACGGCAAGAGUUACACAUUCCUUAUUUCCUCUGACUAUGAGCGAGCUGAGUGGAGAGAAAGCAUCCGGGAGCAGCAGAAGAAAUGUUUCAAAAGUUUCUCUCUGACAUCUGUGGAGCUACAAAUGCUGACCAACUCGUGUGUAAAACUCCAGACUGUUCACCACAUUCCACUGACCAUCAACAAAGAAGAUGAUGAGUCUCCUGGACUCUACGGCUUCCUGCAUGUUAUCGUCCACUCAGCCACCGGGUUUAAGCAGAGCUCAAAUCUGUACUGCACCCUGGAGGUGGAUUCCUUUGGAUAUUUUGUGAAUAAAGCGAAGACUCGAGUCUACAGGGAUACGACUGAGCCAAACUGGAAUGAGGAGUUUGAGAUCGAGCUAGAAGGCUCCCAGACCCUGCGGAUACUAUGUUACGAAAAGUGUUACAACAAAAUGAAGAUGACAAAGGAGGAUGGCGAGAGCGCAGACAAGCUCAUGGGGAAAGGCCAGGUCCAGCUGGACCCCCAGACCCUACAGGACAGAGACUGGCAGCGGACUGUCAUCGACAUGAAUGGAAUUGAAGUGAAACUCUCGGUCAAGUUCACCAGCAGGGAGUUCAGCCUGAAGAGAAUGCCCUCCCGAAAACAGACCGGGGUCUUCGGUGUCAAGAUUGCUGUGGUCACAAAGAGAGAGAGGUCUAAGGUACCUUACAUUGUGCGCCAGUGUGUGGAGGAGAUCGAACGCCGGGGUAUGGAGGAGGUGGGCAUCUACCGAGUGUCUGGAGUGGCCACAGACAUCCAGGCACUGAAGGCAGCCUUUGAUGUCAAUAACAAGGAUGUGUCCGUAAUGAUGAGCGAGAUGGACGUGAACGCCAUCGCUGGCACGCUGAAGCUCUACUUCCGUGAGCUGCCCGAGCCCCUCUUCACUGAUGAGUUCUACCCUAACUUCGCAGAAGGCAUUGCUCUUUCAGACCCUGUUGCAAAGGAGAGCUGCAUGCUCAACCUGCUGCUGUCCCUCCCAGAAGCCAACCUGCUGACCUUCCUCUUCCUCCUGGACCACUUGAAAAGGGUAGCUGAAAAGGAGACGGUGAACAAGAUGUCCCUGCACAACCUCGCCACGGUCUUUGGCCCCACGCUGCUUCGGCCCUCAGAGAAGGAAAGCAAGCUUCCUGCUAACCCCAGCCAGCCCAUCACCAUGACUGACAGCUGGUCCCUGGAGGUCAUGUCCCAGGUCCAAGUGUUGCUGUACUUCCUGCAGCUGGAGGCCAUCCCUGCCCCCGACAGCAAGAGACAAAGCAUCCUGUUUUCCACUGAAGUCUGAAAGCCUGGUGUCAGUCAUCUCAUUAAGAGACUUACAGAAUGACCUGGAAACCUGUGACGAGAGAACCCACCCACGGGGCGGGAAUGAGACCCUUCCUGCGGUGUAAUUUAGCCAUUCCGAAGCUCUGGGCCAUCUGCCAAGAGACAAGUCCCCAAAGCAAAAGGCCAGGGGGCCUACACGAAUCCAGGUGUGUCUGCAAGCCCCAGGCUGGCCCCAGACUGUACUUUUUUCCUUGUUGCCACCAGAGGGCACCCCAAGCCAGCCCAUCUGCAAGCCUGCGGACAAGGGGAAAGAGGCGGAGAAGAGAAGUGGUUUUUACAAAUCUAAUUUAUCAGAGUUUAAAAAAAAAAAAAAAUCUCUACUGGAUCAUUUGUUCCGAUGCACCCUCUCUGGGGAAUAGGGACACCAUCAGAUCCCAUACUAUUGUGUCUUGAAUAAACACUGCUGCUGUUUCGUAUUGUGGGGGCCACAGCCAUGUCCCUCUGUAUAGGUGGGGGUGCCUUCACUAUCCCCUGACUUAGAAACUCCGCUGUAUGUGUGACAGGGUCUGAGAUGCCGAAUCAACACUGUAACACCAUCAGCCCUUGUUCUGUCUUCCCAGAAGGAUGUCUGUGCAGAAGUAGGUCAGGCUCCUCUCCGCUGAUAGUCUUCUUUUGGCUAUUUAUCCACCUCUCAGGAGUGUGCUCCUUCGCAGCCCGGAAGUAUCCAGGGACCUGACACAGGGAAAGGAGACCUUGGUCAUCACGCACCUUACAAUUCCUUCUGUGGAGAGAGUGGCUGUGCCCAUUGAUCCUUACUGCCUGCCUGGCAUUGGCGCUCCCUUCUGUCUUACAAAGGCUGUGAUUUCUCUGGCCUGGCUCUGACUGCCGUCUCUGUCCCUCAUUGCCCCACAUAAGAGAUCACUCCGUUUCUUUGCACCCGACUGAGCAGACUCGGUUUACCUUUCUAAGACGUCUCUGCUCUGAAGCAGCAGCUUCCUCUAGUGGCUUGUUUUAAUACUUUGAUCCGAAAUAGCUUUUGAUACUUGAAUAUUUUUAAGUUUUAUACAUAGUUUCUAAUUCUUUUUUUCCUAAUGGAUUCAGACACCUAAUAAGAUACCAGAAUGUACACCGUGGACGGGCCGUGUCCAGGCAGUAUUUUGUCUUCCUUGGAGAGCCGGCUUCGUUUUUGUUUGGAGUCAUUUCUGAUGUCUCUGGGACCUCAGAAAUACGGGAAGAAGGUUAGGGAAGUCAGGCCUGGGAGUAGGAGCAACCGCCCCAAAGCAGAUUGAAAGCUAGCCCACCUGUGCUCUCCUACCUCCCUCCCUGUCGCUGGGUGGGAGUCAGGGUGGUCUCUUACUGGCCACCCUACUUAGCAAAAGAGAAAGGGGGAAAACCACUGAUUGCUUUCAAGAACGAAUUCCAUAGAUCCUUGCAUCAUUUUUAAAAGGGUGGAAUCCCACCCUUGGGAGACAGAGGCAGAGUUGCCUCGAGCUCAGGACCAGCCUCGACAGCAUAGUACUUACCAGGGCAGCCAGGACUAUAGUGCAGGGCCGUCCUACAAGGGCCUCAGAGUAGACAGGUGGAGAAGAAAAAGGCUGACGAGAGACUUGAAUCCUGAGCUGCUCCUGCAGGAAGGCAUCAUUUAGGGGUGUAGACCACUUGUCACUUGAGGACUCCUGAACCUGGUCACAUACUUUAUGGCCCUCCCAUGUCUAGAAGGUGGGGAUGCCCACCAACGGCAUCCAUCAACCCCCCCAUAGCACAUGGGGAUCCCUGAGAGGCAGAGCCAUGUAUUCCCCUCCCGUGUGCUCUUGAACCUGUCUGAGGUAUUGGGCAGGGAACAAAAGACCCCCCCCACAGGGUCUCUGUUUGCAUACAGUGUUUAGUCCUUUUUUUUUUUCUCAGCAGAGCUACCUAUUGGUCUGCCUUUGAACAUUUUUGGACCCAGUGGGCUUCUCUAGUUUGACUGCCCAUCCCAGUCCGUGUUGUGGCUCUGGCCCUGUAAGGGGAGCACUUCUGAGAAAAGCCAAACCCAGCUAUUGUUUCUGCAUUCCUGGUCCCGACCCCUUUGUCUCUUGAUUUGCUGCGUCUGUCACCUUGAACUGGAAAGCAAUAUAUCAAUGUGCCAAUGUGCAUUCCCUGGCCCAUCCCCUGCCUCAGUUCAUUUUAUUUAUAUAGGAGGUUAUAUGUUAUUUGAUGAUGGAAUGAGCAUCCUUGUGUUUUUCUAAAAAAAAAAAAAAAAGUGCUCCUCCGUCAUUGGGCCACAGCGGCAACAACUGGGGCUGCCUCUCGUACCGCCUCACCCCUCGCAGGCCUCUUAAGCUGGCAGAGAAAAUAACAUGGCUGGCGUUGUCUAGGAGUGGGGUGAUUCAGCUUUCAUUCUGCAAAGAGAAUGAUGGCCCUGGUCUGUUGUGACCGCCCACCAGGCAUGACUGCCAGACUCUAUAGGAAGAAGUGAUACUUUCUUACCUUGGAACCUGGGUCCUGGGCACAGUGGGCUUGGCUUUCCUGGUGGUAGCCUGGACUCCACAGUGGGUGGAUGAUCUCUUAGCCGCGGUCCUGCUUUUGAGUUCAGCUGUCUGUACUAUUCUGUGCCGGAAGGACCACGGACACUCUCAUUAAAGUCUCCUGAGACUACUU